rnacentral:rRNA from 1 species
GACGAACGCUGGCGGCGUGCUUAACACAUGCAAGUCGAACGAUGAAGCCCAGCUUGCUGGGUGGAUUAGUGGCGAACGGGUGAGUAACACGUGAGUAACCUGCCCUGGACUCUGGGAUAACCCCCGAGAAAUCGGAGCUAAUACCGGAUAGGACCUUCUCCCGCAUGGGGGUUGGUGGAAAGUUUUUCGGUUUGGGAUGGACUCGCGGCCUAUCAGCUUGUUGGUGAGGUAAUGGCUCACCAAGGCGUCGACGGGUAGCCGGCCUGAGAGGGUGACCGGCGACACUGGGACGGAGACACGGCCCAGCCUACUACGGGAGGCAGCAGUGGGGAAUAUUGCACAAUGGGCGCAAGCCUGAUGCAGCAACGCCGCGUGCGGGAUGACGGCCUUCGGGUUGUAAACCGCUUUUGUCAGGGAAGAAGCCUUUCGGGGUGACGGUACCUGGAGAAAAAGGACCGGCUAACUACGUGCCAGCCGCCGCCGUAAAAC